AAUUCCUACGCACAAAUAAAAAAUUAUGCGUAAAAAGGUAUUUGAUUAUGUCAAGAAAUUUAAUUUAAUUCUUGGAAAAUAAAAAAAAAACUAAAUUAAAAAUCGACGAAAAACAGGCAAAGAUAAAAUGAUUAAAUUAAAAAUUAAUCGGAAAUUUCCUUUUCCAUAAUACUUCCACAAAUUUCCACCUAAUUCUCAAACUAACGAUGUAAUAAAUGAUGAUAAAUUUGGAAAUCAAAAUUGACACGAUUUUAUUAAUUAUUAAAAAAAAUUUAAGCCAAAUCUUUCACUCGCAAAUAUCAGAAGACCUCCUCUUCUCUCCCCCCUCUUAAUUUUCAAGAUAAUAACUUUUAAUCUAUAUAUAUUAUAUAAUAAGAAAAAUUCAUUUCAAAGGAUUAAAAAAAUCUCCAAGGACGUGUCCUUAUGUCCUGGUUCCCAGCCGGAGAAUAUUCCAUUAUCCCGUGGGGAGGCCGUAUCUUCACCGUCACGAAUCAAUUACGUCGUUCAUCGAUGCGGAUCAAAAGGGAAAAAACGCGCGUAAGACAAGAGAAAGAGAAAGAGAGAGAGAGAAAAAAUCUGGUUCCAUCGAUCAUCUCGCGGCAGGGAACGCCCGAGAUUGAGAUCGUCACGAUCCAGGAAAUCGGCGGAAAUGGGGGACUACUUCUCGACUCUUCCAUCCUCGGAUUUUCCCGGAUUUAUACCGCGUUACAUAAUGGCACCGUAUGGGGAAGAAAGGAAGAAAAGAAAAUAUAACGUCUAAUGUCUAAUGCACGGUUUCCGCUGAAGAUGGCAGUAAAGUGCUUUGAAACGUUUUCCAGAAAUGUUCCGAGAGGCAAUCGGAAUAGUAAUUGGCCAGCAGUGCUGUUACCUCUAUUGUUGAUGAAGGUCUAUUCGGUGAAUGGUAUCGAGUGGAUGGGGGUAUUUUAACGCGAUUAUUUCAAAGCUGGCUGAAAAAUAAUGGAAAUUUGUCCACUUACCUUUUAAAAGUGGUACCAAACGACCCCAGCAAGUGAUCGCACCUUUUCGAUUGAACUGACCCAAGGCAAGCUCCAUAUAAAACAAUGGAAUACCUCCUACUACUAACAUUAUACAAUAUGGAACCAGGAAAGCGCCUGUGAACACAAUUCACAACAUUUAUUUGUGAAUUGUAGUCAUUUUUUAUUAAGAAUUAAUAAAAAUUUAUUUAAACAAUACCAAAUAUAAUAUAAAAACGUAACAUAAAUAAAAGAAUAAUUUUUUUUAAUUUUUUGAAUAACAUUCAAAUAUUGAUCAGAUUAAUGCAUAAUCUUUGACAAUUGUGAUAAUGUAUCUUACAAAAAUAUAUUUCUUAAUAUUUUCAUUAUUUUAAAAUUGCGAUAAAAACAGUAAUUAACAAAAGAGACAAUGUUUGAUUUUGAAAAAUUUUUUAAUGGUUCAGAAUUACAAUUAAUUUCCGAUUAUUAAAAAUCUCUCAAAUAUUUUUCUGUCACAUAUUGAAUAAAUAUUGAAAUGAAAUUUCAUCGGAUAAUAAUUGGAAAAUCGUUGUUAAUAUCUUUAGUAAAAUCGAACACGUUCAAUUUAUAUUUGCAAACCACUGGUGGGAAACGUCCGGAUUCUUAUCAUCGUUGAUGACAUCUGCCGUGUGACAAGAGGCCGAUAUGAAGAGCGAGAAAAAAAAGUGAUGUGCGAGCCACUCGCAUCAUCGUGUUAGCUGCAUAACUGAAUUGCAGAAUAUUUAGAGCACCAGUGGCAGCAAGGUGCUUUUAGGUAUACGUAAUUCGAUAGUGAACUUUCGAAAAUGUAGCAGAGCAAUGGAUGAAAUGGUGAUUUUGAUAAAACUGAUUUAUCAAACGAUUAAACGGAUAAUAUUGGGGAUUUUUAAAUGAGUAAUAUUUAUACAGAUUAUAUGAAAUAAAUAAAUAUUAAAUAUA